GGUCGGUUAGCUCAGUUGGUUAGAGCGUGGUGCUAAUAUCCCAACGGGGAUUGAUACGCCAAGGUCGCGAGUUCGACCCUCGUACUGACCA
rfam:Acidomyces richmondensis BFW scaffold_647, whole genome shotgun sequence.